rnacentral:rRNA from 1 species
AGUGAACGCUGGCGAUAGGCCUAACACAUGCAAGUCGAACGGCAGCACAGUAAGAGCUUGCUCUUACGGGUGGCGAGUGGCGGACGGGUGAGGAAUACAUCGGAAUCUACUUUUUCGUGGGGGAUAACGUAGGGAAACUUACGCUAAUACCGCAUACGACCUACGGGUGAAAGCAGGGGAUCUUCGGACCUUGCGCGAUUGAAUGAGCCGAUGUCGGAUUAGCUAGUUGGCGGGGUAAAGGCCCACCAAGGCGACGAUCCGUAGCUGGUCUGAGAGGAUGAUCAGCCACAAUGGAACUGAGACACGGUCCAGACUCCUAAGGGAGGCAGCAGUGGGGAAUAUUGGACAAUGGGCGCAAGCCUGAUCCAGCCAUACCGCGUGGGUGAAGAAGGCCUUCGGGUUGUAAAGCCCUUUUGUUGGGAAAGAAAAGCAGCAGGUUAAUACCCCGCUGUUCUGACGGUACCCAAAGAAUAAGCACCGGCUAACUUCGUG